UCACAUGUAUACUUAGCAUAUCGGGAUGACGAUAUCGAGUGAUCCGCAUUUUAAAUAACGCGCUUAAAAACACCACGUGACUCACCUACAUACCCGGAUAUUCAACCAGAUUUUACCAUUCUUCGGUUUGGCGUUCUGUCGAGUGGUUCGUUCUCUGGACAGUCAGGUUACUGAGACAUCUGGACCUAUUGUUUCAUCCGCACAGCAGCAUGGUGCAUCCUCUCAGUCAUUCAUUGAAGAUGGUCGUGGUGACUAUAUCCGGCAAUCAUUGUCGAGUUGGGGAGUUUCACAAAGAACUGCAGAAAUUGCCUUGUCAGCCUAUAUACCAUGGACAAGGAAUCAAUAUCGUUUGACCUGGAAAAAGUGGUAUUUAUGGUGUGGUUUAAUGGCUUUACAGUCCCUUUCAAAUGACUGAAGGUGUAGUGGUGUAUGACCUCCAUGAGGAUUAGAAAUCCUAUUUAGUGUUAAAUACUCAUUAUGCAAUGCUAUUGUAGAAAUUGCAAUUUUAUGGUUACAUUUGGUGUUCCAAUAUAUUUUUUAUAACUAAAUUUAUGUAGGAAUAUUUAAUAUUUGUCCAGUUCUUCCUAGAUAUAUAUAUUCACAUGGAGUGUGAGUACUGUUCUCAAGUUUUAUGGUCUUUGUAUCCAUUAAAUAAACUGACUAUGAAAAUGAUGACACUUUAGGUGUCUGCUUUAAUAGCAUUAUCCUGCGUCCCAGGGCUUAGACUUUAGUGUUACUUAACACACUUAGGCUAUAUGAAGACAAGUAAUAAUAAUGUGUGUUUUGUGUUUCCUAAUCAUCUCAUAAUCACUAAUAAGCAUAAUAAUUAUCUGUUAGUUUUAGAAAAUUUCAUUAUGAGAAAUUGUAUGUUAUGCAUACCGUGUUGUUUUAUGUAAAAUGUCCUGAAGCCUUUAGAAAUGUAUAUUAUUUGUUAGUGUUUUAUGUAACCUAUAAGACAGUUACCACUUGUACUGCGGCUAGAUGGCUAAGGAAAGUCUUACUACUUCUGGUAUAGACAUUGGUAUUUUUAAGGCUUGUGUGUUUACAUCUGCAGCUACUUCUGCAGCAUAUAAUAAAGGAUGAUCCUUAGUGGGCAUUUUUCAAAACUCCAGACUGGAAAUUUGACAAGAAUUUUUAUAACUGGAGUACAGAAAUCAGUGUCAAUUAAUGACGCUGUGUUAGGUAGUUAAUAAUUAUUAUUUUAAACUAGUAAUGAAAUGUGUUGAUGAAGAUAGCAUAUCCAAAAAUGUUGUGUUGAUUUGUUUUAACAGGGUUGAAUCACCUGUGAAAUUGUCUGUAGUGUUACAUCCAUAAAUGAUUGAUAAUGAUAGUUAUGAUGGAAGUCUUUAGUUAAAGAUACUCACCGUUGUUAUUGUUUGUGUUCGGUUUUGUUGCUAGAUUUAAAGAUGCUAAGUAUACAUGUGAAAGCCGGAGGCUUUACGGAAAAUAAUGAUCCAUCAUCCAAGCUUUAGUGAAGGAUGAUGGGCAUUAUUUGAGUAAAGCCGGAGGCUGAGCAUGUAUACUCCCACCCUUCUUUAUGAAAUUAUAUUAUGUAUUCUGAGAAUAUAAUUUAAUAUAUGGCUUUUCGGUU